UUGUAUGAAAUAAUCAUUUUGAUCAUUUUGAAAAAAAUCUCUCCCUUUCUUAUAUAAAAAGUGUUCAAUUUGUAAAAUUUUUCUUAUUAAAGCAGAGAUGGUUCAUAAAAGAAUUUUGUUCUUCUCUUCUUUAUUUUUAAUAUCAGAGCAAUCAAUGUGAAAGGAAUAUUUCUUUUCCUUUUUAUCAUUUUGAUAUCAAAGCAAGGAUGAAACCAUUUGAAUAAGAAUUAAAAAAAAAAAUUGAAGUAUGUUGUAAAAUAAAAAAUGAAUGUAUCGAGUCAUUUUGAUAUCAAUACAA
rnacentral:lncRNA from 1 species